AGGUGAUUGUGCUUUAGCCAAUCCCUUGUUUGUUACCAUGACAGCCUCUGUUGUUUUGCAGCCUGGUUACCAGAGGUGAUUGUGCUUUAGCCAAUCCCUUGUUUGUUACCAUGACAGCCUCUGUUGUUUUGCAGCCUGGUUACCAGAGGUGAUUGUGCUUUAGCCAAUCCCUUGUUUGUUACCAUGACAGCCUCUGUUGUUUUGCAGCCUGGUUACCAGAGGUGAUUGUGCUUUAGCCAAUCCCUUGUUUGUUACCAUGACAGCCUCUGUUGUUUUGCAGCCUGGUUACCAGAGGUGAUUGUGCUUUAGCCAAUCCCUUGUUUGUUACCAUGACAGCCUCUGUUGUUUUGCAGCCUGGUUACCAGAGGUGAUUGUGCUUUAGCCAAUCCCUUGUUUGUUACCAUGACAGCCUCUGUUGUUUUGCAGCCUGGUUACCAGAGGUGAUUGUGCUUUAGCCAAUCCCUUGUUUGUUACCAUGACAGCCUCUGUUGUUUUGCAGCCUGGUUACCAGAGGUGAUUGUGCUUUAGCCAAUCCCUUGUUUGUUACCAUGACAGCCUCUGUUGUUUUGCAGCCUGGUUACCAGAUGUGAUUGUGCUUUAGCCAAUCCCUUGUUUGUUACCAUGACAGCCUCUGUUGUUUUGCAGCCUGGUUACCAGAGGUGAUUGUGUUUCAGCCAAUCCCUUGUUUGUUACCAUGACAGCCUCAGUUGUUUUGCAGCCUGGUUACCAGAGGUGAUUGUGCUUUAGCCAAUCCCUUGUUUGUUACCAUGACAGCCUCUGUUGUUUUGCAGCCUGGUUACCAGAGGAGAUUGUGCUUUAGCCAAUCCCUUGUUUGUUACCAUGACAGCCUCUGUUGUUUUGCAGCCUGGUUACCAGAGGUGAUUGUGUUUCAGCCAAUCUCUUGUUUGUUACCAUGACAGCCUCAGUUGUUUUGCAGCCUGGUUACCAGAGUUGAUUGUGCUUUAGCCAAUCCCUUGUUUGUUACCAUGACAGCCUCUGUUGUUUUGCAGCCUGGUUACCAGAGGUGAUUGUGCUUUAGCCAAUCCCUUGUUUGUUACCAUGACAGCCUCUGUUGUUUUGCAGCCUGGUUACCAGAGGUGAUUGUGCUUCAGCCAAUCCCUUGUUUGUUACCAUGACAGCCUCUGUUGUUUUGCAGCCUGGUUACCAGAGGUGAUUGUGUUUCAGCCAAUCCCUGGUUUGUUACCGUGCCACAGCAACCAAAGAUGACUUGCUAAAGCAUUCAGAUCAGGCAACCAAGCUAGAUAUUUGGCUAACUCAGUCUUGAUUGUAAAGGAGGCUGGGUAUAAUGGAUGCUUCCAAAUGAUUGUGUGACUUUGAACUACGAUCAGUGUGAACAGAUCAGAUACAGAGAUGGCAUUCCAACUUUACAUAAUAAAACAAUAGCACAAAGCGUUUUAACAUUCAAACAUGUUAAACUAAAUGCAAUAUUCUAAUAACUUCAGUAGUUCAACUACGAUUAUACACGUAACAGAGGGAUAAUGCCUCUAUUCGCUUCAAUGUUUCAUUAUUCUGAAAAGUCCCUGUAGCUGUACAGUGUAAAGUAAUAGAUGUGAAUCAUGCUUAGUUGACAACAAAAAAAAGGAAAGCAGAGUAGAUAAUCAAGUCCAUAUCAUAUAAUCAUAGUCAAUUGAUAAAACGUCUAAGUAGCUUUAAUAAGUUGUUUAAGUGACUUCUGAUUACUAUAC